rnacentral:misc_RNA from 1 species
UACGUGCCAGAAACCUCGAAAAUGCUUAUUAUAUGGGCUUAUGCGAGCUUGCCAGUUAGGGAGAGGUGACCUAGGGGGACCUAGGUGCCGCACGGGGCUAGAACUCCCGUCCCGUGACAAUGUGGUAUCAGAGCAGGCCCCAGACGAUCCGAAUCACGCCAAGCGCCCCAACGGGAUAGGGGUAGGCAGGGUGCCGAUGGCGACAAGGGUGUUGCUAGAAUCGGGUGGGAGAGAAUGUCAGGCCUCAACGGGACUGAGGUAGACAAGGGUUUUCUCAAUCCCACGUCGGACAAGAAAGGGGUCGAUCCGAGGGACAAGUGCGGCCUAUCAUGCAGCAGCUGGUAUGCAGUGUCUGGCGAGCAACGUGAUGAAUCUUGGCAAAGGCAUUUUAGAGGAUGUCUGCGUGCGGAAGUGGGUGAGUGCACUGGCAAACUGGUGGCCAAUAUGCUGCUCAAGUGUUUGCGUUGGGCGAGCGCAACAAUUGGUGUGUGGGCUCCUUUGUGUGAGGGAGUGUGACAAGUUGCAUGAGGAAGCGAUGUGAACGCAUGCAAACGAGGGUGUUUGCGGGAUUAGAUGGGGGAGAAUGUAACGGUUCGGCAGUUCUCCACUCAUAUUCUUGGCAAUCGGCAAGGUCGUUACAAGCUAACUCUUGCCCUAUGGAGCUAACAAUAGUAAAUCUGUACAGGUACGUGCGGGAAAUCUCGAAGAUGCUUAAUACUUAAGCCUAAGUGAGCUUGCCAGAUAGGGGAAAGGCUAGCUAGAGGCCCUGGCCAAGGGGGAUCUAGGCGUUGCACGAGGCUAUAACUCCCAUCCCAUGACAAAGUGGUAUCAGAGCCUGCUGAAAGGGAAUUGAGUGGGUGUUCAUUGCAUUGUUGUCGCAAUUAUGAUUAGGUCAGUGCUGGUUAGUUCCGAGAUGGUUAGGAUUGCGGAAUUAGAAGAAAGAUUUAGGGUUUGCAAGAGAAUGUGGAUGGAAAAUUUAAUGCAAUGGAGGAAAGAUUCAAUGGUAUAGAGGGGAAAUUAGAUCAGGCUUCUGCUGAUAAUGAUGCACUAAGGCAAGACAUGAGAGCCUUCAUGAGUAUAAUGGUAAAGGAAAAAGGGACAGAAGCUCCAAUUGAAGAAAAUGGAAUCCGAGGAACCGAGAGUAGCGGUCUGUUGCCAAUUCCAAAGGAUCUGCCUAGCCCACAAAUAAAGGAUCAAGGCAGUAUUGGGAAUAUUGCAACUAUUGAAGGCAGUGUUAUUAAAGGCCUGGGAGGCGCCCAAGUGAGGCGAGAGGCGAGGCGAGGUGCCCCUAUACUGCCUCAACUGAGUCACCCCUCUUAGCACCUCCAGAGUCGACACCUCAAGCCAGCGAGGCGAGAAACCAGGUGGGCGAGAGGCGUCGCCUCUUUAA